CGAAGCAGUGAUGUGAAGCAAAUCGCACCAAAGCCAGUCCCAGUUCGGAUAAGAGGCUGAAACUCGCCUCUUUGAAGUCGGAAUCGCUAGUAAUCGCAGAUCAGCAUGUUGCGGUGAAUACGUUCCCGGGUCUUGUACACACCGCCCGUCAAACCAUGAGAGUCACCAACACCCGAAGUCCGCCUUGGCGGCCUAAGGUGGGGGGAGAUGAUUGGGGUUAAGUCGUAACAAGGUACC
rnacentral:rRNA from 1 species